rnacentral:rRNA from 2 species
AGUCCAUUUAUUGCCCGAUACCUCGGGAACUGAGGCUAAUAGUUCAUAGGGGAGUCGCGCUGGAAAUGCCGACUCCCCCAAACGCUCCGGCGCCGUAGGAUGUGUCUGCGGCCGAUUAGGUAGACGGUGGGGUAACGGCCCACCGUGCCGAUAAUCGGUACGGGUUGUGAGAGCAAGAGCCCGGAGACGGAAUCUGAGACAAGAUUCCGGGCCCUACGGGGCGCAGCAGGCGCGAAACCUUUACACUGCACGCAAGUGCGAUAAGGGGACCCCAAGUGCGAGGGCAUAUAGUCCUCGCUUUUCUCGACUGUAAGGCGGUCGUGGAAUAAGAGCUGGGCAAGACCGGUGCCAGCCGCCGCGGUAAUACCGGCAGCUCAAGUGAUGACCGAUAUUAUUGGGCCUAAAGCGUCCGUAGCCGGCCACGAAGGUUCAUCGGGAAAUCCGCCAGCUCAACUGGCGGGCGUCCGGUGAAAACCACGUGGCUUGGGACCGGAAGGCUCGAGGGGUACGUCCGGGGUAGGAGUGAAAUCCCGUAAUCCUGGACGGACCACCGAUGGCGAAAGCACCUCGAGAAGACGGAUCCGACGGUGAGGGACGAAAGCUAGGGUCUCGAACCGGAUUAGAUACCCGGGUAGUCCUAGCUGUAAACGAUGCUCGCUAGGUGUGACACAGGCUACGAGCCUGUGUUGUGCCGUAGGGAAGCCGAGAAGCGAGCCGCCUGGGAAGUACGUCCGCAAGGAUGAAACUUAAAGGAAUUGGCGGGGGAGCACUACAACCGGAGGAGCCUGCGGUUUAAUUGGACUCAACGCCGGACAUCUCACCAGCUCCGACUACAGUGAUGACGAUCAAGUUGAUGACCUUAUCACGACGCUGUAGAGAGGAGGUGCAUGGCCGCCGUCAGCUCGUACCGUGAAGGCGUCCUGUUAAGUCAGGCACGAGCGAGACCCGCACUUUCUAAUUGCCCAGCAGCAGUUUCGACUGGCCUGGGUACCAUUAGAAGGACUGCCGCCUGCUAAAGCGGAGGAAGGAACGGGCACGCUACGUCAGUAUGCCCCGAAUGAGCUGGGCUAACACGCGCCUACAAUGAUCGAGACCAUUGGGUUGCUAUCCUCGAAAGAAAACGCUUAUCUUCUAAGCUCGGAUCGUAGUUCGAUUUGAGGCCUGAACUCGACCUCAUGACCUGAUUCGGAGCUAUCGAACUCCAAUAAAAUGCGCUGACAUACGCCUCCUCGGUAUC